CACAAACCACAUGCCUGCCUCCUCUCUCAACUACAGAAACAUCUGAUGACAGUAAUGUCUCCCAUCCUACUCCAACAAUUUCUGUUAGUACCUCAGUGGAUUCCACACAACUGCCUCCUUCUUCAGGUUUCAUCACUCUGUAUGUGUGUGUUUCACUGCUGGUCUCUGGAAUCGGUCUCAUUGUUCUAGUGCUGUUCUGCACACGAUGGAA